rnacentral:rRNA from 1 species
GGGGAGCCCUAGCACAGGUGCUGCAUGGCCGUCGUCAGCUCGUGCCGUGAGGUGUUGGGUUAAGUCCCGCAACGAGCGCAACCCCCGCCGUUAGUUGCCAGCGGUUCGGCCGGGCACUCUAACGGGACUGCCCGCGAAAGCGGGAGGAAGGAGGGGACGACGUCUGGUCAGCAUGGCCCUUACGGCCUGGGCGACACACGUGCUACAAUGCCCACUACAAAGCGAUGCCACCCGGCAACGGGGAGCUAAUCGCAAAAAGGUGGGCCCAGUUCGGAUUGGGGUCUGCAACCCGACCCCAUGAAGCCGGAAUCGCUAGUAAUCGCGGACCAGCCAUGCCGCGGUGAAUACGUUCCCGGGCCUU